rnacentral:rRNA from 1 species
CAUGGCUCAGGACGAACGCUGGCGGCGUGCCUAAUACAUGCAAGUAGAACGAUGAAGGAGGAGCUUGCUUCUCCGGAUGAGUUGCGGACGGGUGAGUAACGCGUAGGUAACCUACCUGGUAGCGGGGGAUAAAUAUUGAAAACGAUAGCUAAUACCGCAUAACAGUAGAUGUUGCAUGAUAUCUGCUUGAAAGGUGCAAUUGCAUCACUUCCAGAUGGACCUGCGUUGUAUUAGCUAGUUGGUGAGGUAACGGCUCACCAAGGCGACGAUACAUAGCCGACCUGAGAGGGUGAUCGGCCACACUGGGACUGAGACACGGCCCAGACUCCUACGG